GACGAACGCUGGCGGCGUGCCUAAUACAUGCAAGUAGAACGCACAGUUUAUACCGUAGCUUGCUACACCAUAGACUGUGAGUUGCGAACGGGUGAGUAACGCGUAGGUAACCUGCCUGGUAGCGGGGGAUAACUAUUGGAAACGAUAGCUAAUACCGCAUAAUAUUAAUUAUUGCAUGAUAAUUAAUUGAAAGGUGCAAUUGCACCACUACCAGAUGGACCUGCGUUGUAUUAGCUAGUAGGUGAGGUAACGGCUCACCUAGGCGACGAUACAUAGCCGACCUGGGAGGGUGAUCGGCCACACUGGGACUGAGACACGGCCCAGACUCCUACGGGAGGCAGCAGUAGGGAAUCUUCGGCAAUGGACGAAAGUCUGACCGAGCAACGCCGCGGGAGUGAAGAAGGUUUUCGGAUCGUAAAGCUCUGUUGUAAGAGAAGAACGGGUGUGAGAGUGGAAAGUUCACACUGUGACGGUAUCUUACCAGAAAGGGACGGCUAACUACGUG
rnacentral:rRNA from 1 species